rnacentral:rRNA from 1 species
CCUACGGGGGGCAGCAGUGAGGAAUAUUGGUCAAUGGGCGCUAGCCUGAACCAGCCAAGUAGCGUGAAGGAUGACUGCCCUAUGGGUUGUAAACUUCUUUUAUAUGGGAAUAAAGUGCAGUAUGUAUACUGCUUUGCAUGUACCUUAUGAAUAAGGAUCGGCUAACUCCGUGCCAGCAGCCGCGGUAAUACGGAGGAUCCGAGCGUUAUCCGGAUUUAUUUGGGUUAAAGGGAGCGGAGGCGGGUUGUUAAGUUAGUUGUGAAAGUUUGGGGCUUAAACGUUACAUUGCAGUUGAUACUGGCAUCCUUGAGUACGGUAGAGGUAGGCGGAAUUCGUGGUGUAGCGGUGAAAUGCUUAGAUAUCACGAAGAACUCCGAUUGCGAAGGCAGCCUGCUGGACUAUAACUGACGCUGAUGCUCGAAAGUGUGGGUAUCGAACAGGAUUAGAUACCCUUGUAGUC